GGUGCGGAUAGGUUCGGCUCACAGCCCUCGGGACGGGCCCGGCCCGCCCUCCGGAGCUGCCGUACCCCGGCUCUCGCCAGUGAAGUUGCCUGUGUUCCCACACGCACUGUUUGUGUUGGCCGUGGGUUCCUCGAGGGUCUGCAGGUAACAAAGUCUUCACAGUAAGGGCGGUGAGGCAGUGGCACAGGUUGCCCGGAGAGGCCGCAUGUCGCGUCCCUGCAGACAGCCGGGGUCAGGCUGGUUGGGUCUCUGAGCACUGAUGGAGCUGUAGGUGUCCUUGUUCAGGGCAAGCGUAUGGACCCGAUGGCCUUUAAAGCUCCCUUCCAAAUCCAGCUUCUUACAAUUCUGUGAUAAUUUCUGUGCUGGCCAUGUGCUUCCCUCUGCUGUCUGCUAUGGAACCUAAGGCACUCUGUGGUCUACGGUAAGACCUGGGAUAAACCUUUAACUUCCAGUAAGCAGCAUCUCUCUAACAGUUAUUUAAAGCCUGUCUGCAUUGUUCCAGAACUAUUUCCUUUUUCCUCUAAGGCAACCUACAGUAGGAAACUGACGGUCCCUCAGGUAGCCAGCUUUCACUUCUCUUGAAGUCUUGCCUGUUCGUUGCAUUUGGGGCCAGCAGAGCAACCUGCAGAGGCUGAAAAUGGGUCCCCAACUUCCUGCCUUUUGUGGAGUCGGCCAAAGAUAACACUUUUGGUUUGGUUUCAGACAGCCCAGAAGCGGGCCCGAUUCUGCUGUGAUUCAUACGUUCCACUUGCAGGUCAAAAGAUUGGCAUUGGUGAGACUGUAAAAUGGAUGUGCUUGCUUUGGACAUCCUUCUGUACCCUUUGAAGUGCACAGAAGUGUUCUCACUGAUUUCAGUGGGAAAAGCAGUCUCUCUGGUGUGCUCGCUGGUGUGCCAAUUGGUAUUUCCUACUGAUUGGAAGGGAAAGGACGAGGGCCUGGGGUCUGAUUUAUGAAGACUAUGAAUGUUUGCAGACCAGGGCGUUUGCACAUCACAAUUUGCAGAUCAGUGACUUGGUAGUUUGUUUUAACUGAUCCAUCUAACAUCUUAACUCUGGUUAAAAAUGAAUGGAAAAGACAGCCUGUUGUGAAUGAAAAUUGUGUGCUGUGAAACCACCAGUUACUCCUGUGGUAAUAAAUUUGGUCUGCAGAGAAAGAGAAAAUGAACUGAAAGCAAAACGUUGAAAUCAAAUUGUGGGAUAGGUUUUUCGACGUUGUGGAUGACCAUGAGGAUCGGCAUCUGUAGCAACCAGAGCCCAUCUCAGUCCUGCAGGGAGUCACUUUGUAAACGCAGUUUUCCUGCCAAUGAAGUUUGUUUGCUUGGUGAUAAGAAACAAUGGUCAACUUGAUGUGCUACUUAAGCAUUUUAGUGCUUGAGAAGAGGAAUCCAGAUUUGUGCUAAACCUAUUUUCUUAGUCAAAUGCCAGCUUGGCAGCCCAUCUGGAAAGCUGGUAGCACUGAGGCAGAGUGAUUAUGAGGAUUGUUUUCAGCAGUCUCUGGUAAGUCUGCUUUUAAGAAAGUUCUUUCGUUAAGGAAAACGCAGUUCUUAUCUUCGGGAUUGGAAAGACUGCAUGAGAGAAAGGCACGGGCAUUGCUGGGUGCUCAGGGUCAUACUUUUCAAGGUGCCUGAAAAGCAGCGAUGGUUUUGGCUUUGAGAAAGACUACUGUUCAUCCACUAGAGUGAUAUUAGCUGCAAUUACCUGAUAUUCCAGUUAUAUAUGAAGGACUCCAUUUUUGUUCUGCUAAGGAAAGCAUAGUUAUAUUGGUUUAAGUUGGUUAUUCCAUUUCCUACAUCUGGGGGUUGUUGUACUCUAAUACAUGCUCUUUUUCUUAUGGUAGCAAGACAUGUGCUUGCAGUGGGACAGCACGAUCAGUGUGUGACCUCGGGGGGCACCCAGGCCUGAAGUUGUGCCCUCACUGUGUGCUGUGCCUUGGGGCAAAGCCAGAUGGUGUCUGACACUGGGUGAGCAGACAUCCAGAGACAACGCACUCUAGGUUCCAUCCUUUUUUACUGGUGUUGCAAACAAGUUAUUCUUGUACUCUGCAGAAAGCCUCACGACCACAAAACCAGCAGUAAUUGUAUAAAUGAUAAGCUUGUCUUCCUCCUCCUCUACCCAGAUAUUCUGAGUGCGACGGGCAGCAGAGAUGUGCAUUGCUGGAAUCCAGAGAGUUUCAUAAUGUGGCAGUCGCUUGCUGCGUAUGCCACUGCAUAAAUAAGACAACAUUUAUUUUAAGUACUGAGAAACAUUCUAAGUAGAAGAAAAAAGUGUUCAGGUGAAGCCAGUCCCAUUUGUUUACAAGUCUUGGUUUUUGUCUUCAUACAUAUUAAAUGCUUUUCAUUUGUAUGCUGAUUUUUUGAACCUUUCAAGUUUAUGCUUUCCUUCUUUUUUUUCUUUCUUUUUUUUUCUUUUCGUGCAACAAGAAAGUCUGGAUUGAGACCUUACUUUAAAAAGGAAAAUCUGGUUGAACGUCCUAUAUAACCAUGCAACCCCAGACAAAGGGUGUUUAAAAAAUACACUUUGAGAGAAUUGCUCAUCUUGAGAGCAGUUUUCAGCUCUGAGUUUAAGUAAUUUAAGUAAAUACUUCGUUGACAGUUUAAGAAGCUUUUAACAACACCUAUCUCUGUUUGCUUUUCAGGGAGGUCUCUCUUCUACUCUUCUGAACAUUUAGAGCUUGUUUCACCUCUGUAUGUGCUGAUGAAGUCAGAAAUGUGGUGUACCAGCAUGAAUAACGUGUGUUGAAUAAUGCAUACAGAUGCUUUCAGAAAUGCAUGCACAGAUUUCAUGCAGUUGUUCCCUUAAGCUGCUGAGCAGUAGGGGGGGUGCAGAGCCGUCCUCAGGGCAGCAGGAGGAGUGCUGUUCUCAAGCUGUACACAUCAAGACAAGAAGGAGACAUCCUUCCUCAGCUCAAAGAUUCUGUCUCUCCCUGCUAUGGAUGCAAGUACGAGCGCCUGGCCAUACGUUCCCCAGGGUGCACAGACAGCUUUCUGACCAGCUGCUCUCCCUGGUCUAUCCCUAGCAGUAACAUCCAGGGAAAGCAGAGGCCGACUGCUGUCCUGUGGCUGUGUAAGAGCCCCGUUCUGGGCUCGCAGGCUAGGUGCUCCAGAAUGGCGUUUCUAGGAGGUUGCUGCUCCACUUGUGUGGUUUCAAUCGCUUAAGUCUUUGGCCUUGUGCCUUGAAGUGCCAGCAGAGACAUGCUGUAAUUGCCCGUAAACGCACCUUCUGUCAUAUCAUUGUUUAAUUAUUCCAGCUUCUCACCGCCACGCACUGCUUAGUGUCUCUCCUGCUAUCUUUAUUUAAUUGAGUGGAAAAAGCCUGAGACUUGUGCUUCACUCACGUCGCUUUGUAUUUAUCCAGCAUCACUGGAUCCUGCUUUGAAGUGCCAGCUUUUGUAUGCAGAAGUCAGUCUUCUAUACAGAAAAAAUAAUGUCCAUGUCAAAAGCGUAUGUUAGAAAUAGAAUCAAUAUUUUAACAUAUGGUAAACUCUGGCCAUAAAGCUCUUAACACAGUCAAAUGAUUGUAUUAUUAUCCUUUGAAACUUGGCUCUGCCCUGAGAAACAAGGAAGGGAAAGAAAACUCGAAUAACCAAGCCCUUGUCCUCACAGUGCAGGACUGUUCUCAGUCUGUCGCUUUGUCUGUGCCACUUCUUCCUUUUCUGUCUCCCAGCUCUGUUUUCUUCCACAUUGAAUGCAUUCAGCUCCAGGAGCCUUCUUUCCUCAGCCCAUCCCUAUGGAUCUGUUUUAGGGCAGUACCAGAUGUCAGUUCAGUCCCAAGAUUCACCCUGCAACAUCCCCAUGGGAGUGCCACCACCGUUUCAGACAGCUCUAUGCUUCUAUACCAAGCCUUGCAACUAACCAAAUAUUAAUGUGUAGAAAAAAAUAAUCUGAGAUCUCUCCAAUGCUCCCCUUGUCUGUAUGGCCUGUAAAAGACGUGGCAGCUUGUUGGCUGCUUUUCUUUUCUCCCCUUCCCUGUGUCAGUGACAAAUGCACAUUGUUUUUCUGGUCUUCAGUUCAGCUUUCAGUCUCUGAGCCAGAAAAACGCUUUGUGCAGCACCUAGCACACCAGAUCAGUAUCAGGAGCUGUGUGCUCCUACACCAACACGAAAUAUUAGGGUUGCUGGCACUCACUCUGGCCUAGUUUGCCUCUCUCCUGGCAGGAGUUUGAUGACGUCCUCCUGGAAGAUCACUGUACAUCUGAACAGAUCUAGCUUUCAGGAUCCUAUUUUAUUUCUUCAUAAAUCAUCAACUGAGAUUUUCAUUUGCAGGUGUGCUCCUUAUAGCGUUCGGCUCCUUGACUGAGCCAGCAUCAUUUUUGGGGUUGUACUUUCCAGCUUCCCAUAACUGUAAGAUUAUUCAUUUCAUACUAUUUUCUGAUUUGUUUUAUUUUUCAUCCAUCUUUUUCCUGCUGGAAAGAGCAAUUUAUAUAAUGAUUUCACUGUGGAAUUGACUUCAAGCUUUACUGCUAUUUGUCACCGUUCAGGAAAUCCAUCCCUGGCUCCAGAAGAACACUCGGUCCCUGCCGACAGUCUGAAACAGGGAGAGAAAAUAGAUAGCAGAGCUGCAGCUAUUAAAACCAACAGGCACAUAUUUUAUUCCAACUCAGUUUUCCAUUCCCAAAUGCCUUUUGAAGAAAAUCUUUUUUGUUUGAGAGAACAUGAAGGAAGGUUGUGGGUACUGGUGAGUUUUCGGGGGGGGAUGGAGGGUUGUUUUGGUGGUGAUGGUUUGUUGUCAAUGUUGUUUCAUAGGGACUGUCCUGUUUUUGCUCAUCUCCAUCUUCUUCCACUUUUCAGGCAGCAGGCUCACAACAGUGACAGGAUGUCAUCUAAGGAAAGCUGCUGCUGCUUCUGGCCUUGGUUGACCUGUUGGUGAUGGUGCUUGCCUGGGCAUGGGGCAACUGGCUUUUCAUACAGCUCAGCAUGGACGUGUUGCCACUCCCAGUAACUUUUAGGACACAGUCGAGUUGUUUUUCCUGAGAUUACUGUACCCAUUAAUCUUAAGAAAAACAUGUAAUAAAACUGUUCAGCCUUCUUGGGGCCACCACUCCCAGAGACCUUUCCCCCUUUUGGCUUCUGCAUUAGCUUCUUUCCUUUGGCUUUGCAGCUUUAUCAACUAGAAAUGAUAAACUACAGAAUUGGUUGGCUUCAGGCUCUCUUUUUUGCAGGAUAGGCUAUGCUUGUGCCUAUUGAGGAAUGGAAGAUCAUAAAGGACGAGGGGAGAUGGAAGGCUGCUCCCUCUUGUACACAGUGCAGGGGCAGGAUACAGCCUUUUAUGAAGUUCAGCAAAGAAAAACUUGGGCUGCACACUGUGCCAUACCAGUCAGCCUGGUACUAAUGUUCCUGGACCUUUGAAGGCAAGAAACGACAUGCAGUGUGAAUGAAAUCUAAGCCUUGCUGCACCACAGCACUGGUGCCAGCCAACUUUAGAAGUCUGAUGUGAGAGUCAGGUGGAGCAGGUAGCAUGGCAGGAGAUGCCAUGUAUCACCUGCAGGCGUGUAGAUCUGCAGUGCUGCUACAGCAUCCAAAUCCAACCGCAAUGUGUGGCCUGCAAGAAGCUGGUGAACCCAUGGCCACAUUUGACUUGAAUGCACUUUCCUUGGGAGGAAGUGGCUUUUCCCUUGAAAAGCUCAAUUCCCCAGGGUCCCUGGGGAGGUCAGGGGAAAAGUGAUUUCAUCAGAAUAUGUUCCAGAAUGCCUUGACAAACUCUUAUCAUCUUGACUAUGGAGUCAAACUUAGGCAAACUUAACCUCUGUAGUUUUAAAGCCACUUUUGUGAGUACCAAACUCCUCCUCCUCCUUGCUUUGAGAGUUAUGCUGUCCCUGGUAGGCACAUUGCUUACUGUGGUUGAGGUGCUGCAGACCCAAGCUGAGAGAAGCUUGUCUACCAGUGUACAGCGUGUCCUUUUGCAUCCUGCUCCAUCCUUUUGGCUUAUCCUGGAAUAGGUUAGCAGGUACCAGAGAAAUGAAAUGAGUCAGGAAAUGUUGGUUUCUUUCUGGAUAGCCUGACUGGGCUGGAAUAAUCAGCAUCUGUUUCAGUUUAAAUGAGUUUUCAUUCCAGCCUUAUUCCCUUUUCAAAGUACAGAAAACCAAAGCCUUUAAUUUGCCCUGUCUUUUACUGUAGAGAAAAUUAGAAGUUUCUGUCAGCUGAUACUAUCCCACCUAGAAAAUCUAUGCUAAAAAAAAUACAAUGUAUUGUCUAUUAUGAAUGAAAAAGCUCUUGCUGGUUUCUCUCAUUUGUAGUGUUAACUUUGAAAGAUAAAUUGUUUGAACUGGUUGGCUCUCCGAUUGUGUAACUGAAGAUCAGCUUGCUUGGUAGCCUGAUGGAUCUGCAGUUUUCCCUUGCACUAAAUAAGCUGCAGAACUGCCAGCCCUGGGGCAGUUAGGACACAGCACAUACUUGAAAAAAAUUGUCACUUUUACCAGUAAAUCAGAGAAAAUAAUCUCAUGCAUGACAUCCUGGAUGCUUCAGGAUUGAUCCAUUUGGAACACCUCCUGUAGGGCCUAGAAUGUGUGUCUGAAACUCACAAACAUACGUAACUGCUAAUGAGUUUAAAGUUGAAGCUGGCAGGCCCAGAACUGUUUUUACGUGGAAGUUUUGCAACCCUAAACCAUGAAGCUUGGUUUUGAGGACACAGGCAUGUGGAACAAACUCCAUCCUUUUUUUCCUAUGUGUUUGCUUUGUAGAACCAACAGCAAGAAAAAGUAGAAAGAAUUCCUUGUCUCUCAAUUGAGCAGACCUGACUGAACACAGAGAAGGAACAGGAAGCUUUGGCUCUGGUGGGCAGUCUUUCUCUUCAGUGUGGUGGAUCUUGUUGGCCAUUCUGUCCCAGUGCUGGUUCCUAGGAAUUGCCAGUGGUUCUGGAUGUGUACGUGCAUUCCCCCAGGUAUGUUUUCUGUGCCUCAUAUUCUCCCUCUCUCCCCAUUUAGGCUGUGCCAGCUCUUCCAGCCUCCCCACUUUCUGUAUACCUGUGACCAUGGCUGUACAGCCAGGAUUACAUCUAAGGUGAAGACAGAAAAACCAUGAUGAAGGCUUAUGCUAUUUUCAUGAUGGAUAUGAUGCUCACAAAAAUGAAAAGGUCUGUGUCAGUGAAGAUUUGGGAAGAAAUGUCCUGCUAGGGGCUGAAAUUGAGCCGGAGCUCAGCUACCCGACAUCCAGUGGAUUUUCAGUUUUACGUUUCACCUGUUUUCGGCCCUGUGCCCCAUGAUACAGAAGAGCCAAUCCUGCUUCUAACACUGCCCAGCAUUUAUUAAUAAAAGAGCGU